ACGACCUUACUUGAACAGGAUCUGUUCUAUUGGCUCAUACCUCUGUUUCCUUGAUUUCUCAAGAGACAUGCUCUUAACCCUGGUUGAUGAACCAUAAAAAACCCAAGUGUCAUUAGCUCAAUUGGUAAAGACCCUAAGCGAAGUUUUGAGGUCGCCGGUUCGAGUGACGCUUGGUGGUUUCGGGCU